CUACGUGCCAGCAGCCGCGGUAAUACGGAAGGUCCAGGCGUUAUCCGGAUUUAUUGGGUUUAAAGGGAGCGUAGGCUGGAGAUUAAGUGUGUUGUGAAAUGUAGACGCUCAACGUCUGAAUUGCAGCGCAUACUGGUUUCCUUGAGUACGCACAACGUUGGCGGAAUUCGUCGUGUAGCGGUGAAAUGCUUAGAUAUGACGAAGAACUCCGAUUGCGAAGGCAGCUGACGGGAGCGCAACUGACGCUUAAGCUCGAAGGUGCGGGUAUCGAACAGGAUUAGAUACCCUGGUAGUCCGCACAGUAAACGAUGGAUGCCCGCUGUUGGUACCUGGUAUCAGCGGCUAAGCGAAAGCAUUAAGCAUCCCACCUGGGGAGUACGCCGGCAACGGUGAAACUCAAAGGAAUUGACGGGGGCCCGCACAAGCGGAGGAACAUGUGGUUUAAUUCGAUGAUACGCGAGGAACCUUACCCGGGCUUGAAUUGCAGAGGAAGGAUUUAGAGAUA
rnacentral:rRNA from 1 species